GAUGAACGCUAGCGGCAGGCUUAACACAUGCAAGUCGAGGGGCAGCGCGGGAUAGCAAUAUCCUGGCGGCGACCGGCGGAAGGGUGCGUAACGCGUGAGCGACAUGCCCGUUGCCCGGGGACAACCGGUGGAAACGCCGACUAAUCCCCGAUGGGAUACGAUGCUUCAUGGCAUUGUAUUGAAAGUUACGGCGGCGACGGAUUGGCUCGCGUCCGAUUAGCUGGUUGGCGGGGUAACGGCCCACCAAGGCUGCGAUCGGUAGGGGUUCUGAGAGGAAGGCCCCCCACAAUGGGACUGAGACACGGCCCAUACUCCUACGGGAGGCAGCAGUGAGGAAUAUUGGUCAAUGGGCGGAAGCCUGAACCAGCCAUGCCGCGUGCGGGAAGGAGGCCCUAUGGGCUGUGAACCGCUUUUGCCUGGGGGCAAUAAGGGCGUCGCGCACGUCCGAUGAGAGUACCAGGCGAAUGAGCAUCGGCUAACUCCGUG
rnacentral:rRNA from 1 species